AGAGUUGAUCCUGGCUCAGAACGAACGCUGGCGGCGCGUUUAAGCAUGCAAGUCGAGCGGCAAGGGCCUUCGGGCCCCUAGAGCGGCGGACGGGUGAGUAACACGUGGACAAUCUGCCCUCCGGCCCGGGAUAGCCCAGGGAAACCUGGAUUAAUACCGGAUGAGACGGGACCCGCGAAGGCGGGACCCGGGAAAGGCGCUGCGGCGCCGCCGGGGGAUGAGUCUGCGUCCCAUUAGCUAGACGGCGGGGUAACGGCCCACCGUGGCGACGAUGGGUAGCCGGCCUGAGAGGGUGGACGGCCACAUUGGAACUGAGACACGGUCCAGACUCCUACGGGAGGCAGCAGCUAAGAAUCUUCCGCAAUGGGCGAAAGCCUGACGGAGCCGACGCCGCGUGAACGAAGAAGGCCGUGAGGUUGUAAAGUUCUUUUCGGGAGGGGGAACAACCGUGGCAGGGAAUGGCCGCGGGAUGACGUGAAUCCCGGAAUAAGCCCCGGCUAACUACGUGCCAGCAGCCGC
rnacentral:rRNA from 1 species